UGCAGUCGACGGUGAGCAGAGCUUGCUCUGUGGAUCAGUGGCGAACGGGUGAGUAACACGUGAGCAACCUGCCCCUGACUCUGGGAUAAGCGCUGGAAACGGCGUCUAAUACCGGAUAUGAGCUGCGAUCGCAUGGUCAGCAGUUGGAAAGAUUUUUCGGUCUGGGAUGGGCUCACGGCCUAUCAGCUUGUUGGUGAGGUAAUGGCUCACCAAGGCGUCGACGGGUAGCCGGCCUGAGAGGGUGACCGGCCACACUGGGACUGAGACACGGCCCAGACUCCUACGGGAGGCAGCAGUGGGGAAUAUUGCACAAUGGGCGGAAGCCUGAUGCAGCAACGCCGCGUGAGGGAUGACGGCCUUCGGGUUGUAAACCUCU
rnacentral:rRNA from 1 species